GGAAGUAAAAGUUGUAACAAGGUCUCCGUUGGUGAACCAGCGGAGGGAUCAUUACCGAGUUUACAACUCCCAAACCCAAUGUGAACCAUACCAAACUGUUGCCUCGGCGGGGUCACGCCCCGGGUGCGUCGCAGCCCCGGAACCAGGCGCCCGCCGGAGGGACCAACCAAACUCUUUCUGUAGUCCCCUCGCGGACGUUAUUUUUACAGCUCUGAGCAAAAAUUCAAAAUGAAUCAAAACUUUCAACAACGGAUCUCUUGGCUCUG
rnacentral:misc_RNA from 1 species